rnacentral:rRNA from 1 species
AUUGAACGCUGGCGGCAUGCCUUACACAUGCAAGUCGAACGGCAGCACGGGAGCAAUCCUGGUGGCGAGUGGCGAACGGGUGAGUAAUAUAUCGGAACGUGCCCAGUCGUGGGGGAUAACGCAGCGAAAGCUGUGCUAAUACCGCAUACGAUCUACGGAUGAAAGCGGGGGAUCGCAAGACCUCGCGCGAUUGGAGCGGCCGAUAUCAGAUUAGCUAGUUGGUGAGGUAAAGGCUCACCAAGGCGACGAUCUGUAGCUGGUCUGAGAGGACGACCAGCCAAACUGGAACUGAGACACGGGCCAGACUCCUACGGGAGGCAGCAGUGGGGAAUUUUGGACAAUGGGCGCAAGCCUGAUCCAGCAAUGCCGCGUGCAGGAUGAAGGCCUUCGGGUUGUAAACUGCUUUUGUACGGAACGAAACGGCGAGCUCUAAUACAGUUUGCUAAUGACGGUACCGUAAGAAUAGGCACCGGCUAACUACGUGCCAGCAGCCGCCGUAAAAC